UUACGGCCAUAUCAUGUUGAAACACUAGUUACCGUAUGAUCACCGAAGUUAAGUAACGUCGACCCUGGUCAGUACCUUAGAUGGGUGACCGCUUGGGAAUACCAGGUGCUGUAA